rnacentral:lncRNA from 1 species
GCAGCCUGAAUGACACCUUUGUCCAUGUCACUGAUCUUUCUGGCAGGGAACCACCUGCCAUGUGGCCGGUGGGAUGAAGGAGCAGGCUGACCAAGAUGAAUCCUCCCCAUGUACUGCCAUGUUGACUGCUCAGGAUGUGGUCCAGAGGUGCAAGGAGCUGGGCAUCACUGCCCUACACAUCAAGCUCCUGGCCACAGGAGGAAAUAGGACCAAGACCCCUGGACCUGGGGUGCGGUUGGUCCCCCGAGCCCUUGCCUGCUCAGGUAUGAAGAGCCGGUAGAUUGAGGACAUCACCCCCAGCUCCUCCAACAGUAUCUUCAGGAAGGAGGGUUGCUGUGGUCACUGUCUGUGA